GAAGUAUAUAUCCUAUAUAUGGGUAAUUGAUAACAUCCAACGAACUAAAUCUUAUUCAAGUUCGUUCUUCUCUUGAUGGAGAAAUCCAUUAUCUUUUGAUGCUUCUUUCCUUGAUAUUUUUCAAGGAAACUAUUCUAAAGUGUUAUCUUUCCUUGGAUCAAAUCUAAGGAGGUAAAUACUUUAGACGUCUUACUCAUCAACUUACAUUUCUUGAAUUCUUUGAAACCUUUUGCAAAGUAUUCGGACUUGUGUUUAUUCAAAAUAAACUAUAGUCCAACCGAGAGCGAUCUUCGGUGAAGGUCAUACAACAUGAGUAGUAUUAUGUUGUGGACAAGUGCCACUAACAUCUAAGUGAAUUAACCUCAACAACUUUGUGAUUCUUUUUUCUUUCCAAAAGAAUAAAGAUUUGAACAUUUCGCCUCUAUACAAUUUUAAUAAGAAGGUAUUGGAUCCGGAUCUAACGAUCCAAAGCAUC
rnacentral:lncRNA from 1 species